AGAGUUUGAUCCUGGCUCAGGACGAACGCUGGCGGCGUGCUUAACACAUGCAAGUCGAACGGAAAGGCCCUGCUUUUGUGGGGUGCUCGAGUGGCGAACGGGUGAGUAACACGUGAGUAACCUGCCCUUGACUUUGGGAUAACUUCAGGAAACUGGGGCUAAUACCGGAUAGGAGCUCCUGCUGCAUGGUGGGGGUUGGAAAGUUUCGGCGGUUGGGGAUGGACUCGCGGCUUAUCAGCUUGUUGGUGGGGUAGUGGCUUACCAAGGCUUUGACGGGUAGCCGGCCUGAGAGGGUGACCGGCCACAUUGGGACUGAGAUACGGCCCAGACUCCUACGGGAGGCAGCAGUGGGGAAUAUUGCACAAUGGGCGGAAGCCUGAUGCAGCAACGCCGCGUGCGGGAUGACGGCCUUCGGGUUGUAAACCGCUUUCGCCUGUGACGAAGCGUGAGUGACGGUAAUGGGUAAAGAAGCACCGGCUAACUACGUGCCAGCAGCCGCGGUGAUACGUAGGGUGCGAGCGUUGUCCGGAUUUAUUGGGCGUAAAGGGCUCGUAGGUGGUUGAUCGCGUCGGAAGUGUAAUCUUGGGGCUUAACCCUGAGCGUGCUUUCGAUACGGGUUGACUUGAGGAAGGUAGGGGAGAAUGGAAUUCCUGGUGGAGCGGUGGAAUGCGCAGAUAUCAGGAGGAACACCAGUGGCGAAGGCGGUUCUCUGGGCCUUUCCUGACGCUGAGGAGCGAAAGCGUGGGGAGCGAACAGGCUUAGAUACCCUGGUAGUCCACGCUGUAAACGGUGGGUACUAGGUGUGGGGUCCAUUCCACGGGUUCCGUGCCGUAGCUAACGCUUUAAGUACCCCGCCUGGGGAGUACGGCCGCAAGGCUAAAACUCAAAGGAAUUGACGGGGCCCCGCACAAGCGGCGGAGCAUGCGGAUUAAUUCGAUGCAACGCGUAGAACCUUACCUGGGUUUGACAUGGAUCGGGAGCGCUCAGAGAUGGGUGUGCCUCUUUUGGGGUCGGUUCACAGGUGGUGCAUGGCUGUCGUCAGCUCGUGUCGUGAGAUGUUGGGUUAAGUCCCGCAACGAGCGCAACCCUUGUUCACUGUUGCCAGCACGUUAUGGUGGGGACUCAGUGGAGACCGCCGGGGUCAACUCGGAGGAAGGUGGGGAUGACGUCAAGUCAUCAUGCCCCUUAUGUCCAGGGCUUCACGCAUGCUACAAUGGCUGGUACAGAGAGUGGCGAGCCUGUGAGGGUGAGCGAAUCUCGGAAAGCCGGUCUCAGUUCGGAUUGGGGUCUGCAACUCGAUCUCAUGAAGUCGGAGUCGCUAGUAAUCGCAGAUCAGCAACGCUGCGGUGAAUACGUUCCCGGGGCCCUCCACGCCGCCCGUCAA
rnacentral:rRNA from 1 species